UACGUAGGCAGCGAGCGUUGUUCGGAGUUACUGGGCGUAAAGCGUGCGUAGGCGGUGUCUUAAGUUUGUUGUGAAAUCUCCCGGCUUAACCGGGAGGGUGCGGCGAAUACUGAGAUGCUGGAGUGCCGGAGAGGUAAGCGGAAUUCCUGGUGUAGCGGUGAAAUGCGUAGAUAUCAGGAGGAACACCUGCGGUGUAGACGGCUUACUGGACGGUAACUGACGCUGAUGCGCGAAAGCUAGGGGAGCGAACGGG
rnacentral:rRNA from 1 species